rnacentral:misc_RNA from 1 species
GGGUCCAGAAAAUUCAUCAAGGUAUGUUGCAUUUCUUAUUUUUCUUCUCUGUUUCUUUUUUCCUUUUCUUGCGAUCCAGUUUUGAUUCAUGUUUGCUGUUUUGCAUAACUCCAGUGUUUGUGCUAAUUGAUUGAACAGCUUCUUGUAAUAGCUCGAGACAAACAUUUUGGCCAAAUUGUAUUUAACCAUACCCUUUAUUUGUAUGUUUUAA